GGAAGGACUGUAGGCUCAGUGGUAGAGCGUCUGUCUUGCAAACAGACUCUUCCUGGUUCAAUCCUUGGUGUCUCCA